CCUACAAUGACUCUAUUUGAUUUCUUGAGAGAUGAAUCAAGAAGAGCUGAAGUAAGAUAUUCUUCAUCACUCCUUUUUGUCAUAUUUGCUCUGCUAGAUAGUAAACAAACCUCCUUUUUGUUGUUCAGUGGGACAUCAUGCUUACACCAGGCCCUACUCAAACAACGGUGAAUUUAGCAAAGGGCCAAGAUCGUGGAAACUCUGUUACGAUGCAUGUAAGUAUAAGUAUUCAACAAUCUGUUGAUAUGAUUCAUAAUUAGCAGUCGAAAAACCAAAGAACUUUAAUCCCUAAGUUUCCAGUAGAAUAUUAAAUUAACAAAAAUAGAAAUACAAAAUAAAAUUCAAAACAUACUAGGCCAGUGAUCAAAUUGACAUACAACAUUUCUUUUUAAAGAUGUAAAAGUUGAGAUGUUUAAUAUUUGAUGUGCAUACACAGACAACAACUUCAUCAGAGAGGACUAACAUUUGGGUUCUUCAAGAUAGCAGCACUAACGCUUAUGAGUCGAUGGUGGUUUUUGCUCCUGUGGACAUUGAUGGCAUGCAAUCAGUGAUGACUGGGUGCGAUUCUAGUAGCUUGGCUAUAUUGCCAUCAGGAUUUUCUAUACUUCCUGAUGGGCUUGAGACCAGGCCUCUCGUGAUCACAUCUAGGCCAGAGGAGAGGACGAUGGAAGGAGGAUCUUUGCUUACAAUAGCAUUCCAAAUUCUUGCCAAUUCCUCACCCAUGGCGAAGCUAACAAUGGAAUCAGUGGAAACUGUGAACACACUUGUUUCAUGCACACUGCAGAAUAUCAAGAAAGCACUGGGCUGUGAAGAUGGGUAACUUUUGUGGCCUAAGCAAAUUUGUGAAGAUGAUGGAAACAGAUUCAAAUCACUAAUCGGAGGAAUCAGACAUGCACAAACACGGGAAGAGUAAGUAAAAUAUAGAAAUCAAUAUAGAUUGGUAAGAAUUAACAACAUAGUCAGAAAGCUUGCACUGGAAGAAUUCAGAUCAGAUGAUCUAGGUUGAAAAGCAGGCCUGUGCAGAAGGUAUAAAAGAAUGUAACAUGUAGCAAGUUCUUCCAAUGCCAGUGAGUCUUCACAAAGCAUUUCUUUUGGCCUUUUGGAGGGGACCGUGUCACAUGAUAUUGAUAUAAGCUAAUGAGUUCUACAAUUAUUGAACUCAUAACCUAAUGAGAUGUAUUUAACCGCAAGAGUUUGAAGCUUCGCUGAUGGUAAGGAUGGCACUAAAGUUGGCUUUUCUCCCUCCCAUCAAUCAAUCCUCUGAAAGGGAGGUGGAAGAGACCAAGAACAGGCAACUAAAAGUAGUUCCUUUACAAAGGUAGAAAGGAAGACUGAUAAAACAGGCACCUGAUCCGACUGAAAGCCUUGCCAAGACCAAAUACCUGGUAGGCAUCAUCGUCCAUAAGAUUCAAUUAUGGGCACUGAAUCAUAGUCGAGUUUGUACAUCAUGGUUACUCUCGCAAAUUAAGGCAGAACUAAUUUAAGAAGAGAUUUGCUAUCUUUAAAGGAUCCUUUCGUACAAUAUAUUGGCCACAUGGAUCUACAUCGUCUCGCUGUGAUGAACGAUCUCAGAAAGUAAAGCAUCAUUCAAGUUGUCCAAAGGAAAAGGCGUAGCAAAUUUCAACUCAAGGGUGAAGUGGAACGAAAAGCACUCUCUUCUUACAGCGGUUAGAGGGAGAUUUACCUGACGCCAAAGAGAAAGGCAGGAGGAAGGUUCAAGGCCCAAAAUUCCCGUUGAAAACUCAAGGUAUGGCCCAAGAGACGCUCUGUCCGCUGCAGUUCCAGGCGAGCUUACACCCUAUUCACCGCCCUCUACCAAUACUGCCGUCGUGAAAACGUGCGCCGCCCCGUCGUCCACUGCGACACCGCCGUCCGUUGGAUUAGGAUCCAGCGAAGGCUUGAAUGCCAACGACCUCCAGCGUCUUCCACCUCGUCGCCAUCGACAAAGAUCGCUCGACCUCGUCCUCCACGCCAUGCUCACGAAGCGCCGAGUGCAAA
rnacentral:lncRNA from 1 species